rnacentral:rRNA from 1 species
CCUACGGGUGACAGCAGUGAGGAAUAUUGGUCAAUGGACGAGAGUCUGAACCAGCCAAGUAGCGUGAAGGAUGACUGCCCUAUGGGUUGUAAACUUCUUUUAUAAAGGAAUAAAACGAGGCACGUGUGCCUUUUUGCAUGUACUUUAUGAUUAAGGAUCGGCUAACUCCGUGCCAGCAGCCGCGGUAAUACGGAGGAUCCGAGCGUUAUCCGGAUUUAUUGGGUUUAAAGGGAGCGUAGAUGGGUUGUUAAGUCAGGUGUGAAAGUUUGCGGCUCAACCGUGAAAUUGCAAUUGAUACUGGCAGUCUUGAGUACAGUUGAGGAAGGCGGAAUGCGUGGUGUAGCGGUGAAAUGCUUAGAUAUCACGAAGAACCCCGAUUGCGAAGGCAGCUUACUAAACUGUAACUGACAUUGAUGCUCGAAAGUGUGGGUAGCAAACAGGAUUAGAUACCCGAGUAGUC